rnacentral:ncRNA from 2 species
UGCCCAGGCUGUAGCGAGGGGUGCGCGAGGAAGCCGGUGCGAAUCCGGCGCGGUCCCGCCACUGUGACCGGCGUCAGAACCGGGAGUCAGGAACUCG